AACCUCUAGCACCACCGCCUCAACCUCCAGCGCCACCGCCGUCUCAAAACCAGGCACCACCAUCGCCAUUAGGUUUGCAAUACAUUUUUGAACCCAAACUGUUUUUUGCCAUUUGAUAUGCCAAUAUAUUUUUGCCUUUAGAUUUGCAAUAUAAUCUUUCCUUAUACAACACUAUAUUUUUGCCAUUUGAUUGAAUCCAAAACUGUUUGGUUUGCAUUUGGUUUGGGUUUCUUUAGUUUAAUUUGAUAGUUCUUCGAGAAAAAUGAAGGGUGGUGCAGCUGCUGUUUCAACGGAGAAGGAAUCAGAAUCUGCUUUGGUAGCCUCAUACACCUAUUGGAUUAGGGAAUUAACCCAUGAUGUAGCUCCAAGACCCGUACCAAGAAGCUUAAUGUGGAGGAUUUUCCCAAUCAAUCCAAUCCGACCCACCUCGACUCCACAUGGAAUUGGGUAUCUAUUUGGAGGAUUCGCCCAAGCUGAUAUGUUGGCGCUGACAAUGUUUGUGGAAGGUGGCGGAGGGUUUUGGAUUUGGUUUUAAGGAAUGGG
rnacentral:lncRNA from 1 species